GUGCUAGGGGAACCGGGUUGGAUACCGGGCCGUAGAGGGUGAUGGCCCCGUACCCGAAUGCGCGUGGACCGUCGAUCAUGCUUUUCCCGAGUAGCGCGGGUCCCGUGGAACCCCGUGUGAAUCCGCCCCGACCGUGGGGCAAGCCUAAGUAUUCCUGUCUGACCGAUAGCGUACUAGUACCGUGAGGGAAAGGUGAAAAGCACCCCGGGAGGGGAGUGAAAGAGUUCCUGAAACCGUGCGCCUACGAUCCGUCGGAGCCCUCGUUGUGGGGUGACGGCGUGCCUAUCGAAAAAUGAGUCUGCGAGUCAGUGGCGGGUGGCGAGCGUAAGCCGUGUGGCGGACGCGUAGCGAAGGCGAGUCUCAAAAGGCGUUGAGUCGCCCGUCCUGGACCCGAAGCGGGAUGAUCUAGCCCUGGGC
rnacentral:rRNA from 1 species